UUUUUUUUUCAAGUUAUGCUAUAUUAAUUUAUUACUAGUGUGGGUCUUCCAUUAGCUUCCUACAUAUCAGUGAGGACUUUCUCAGCAGCAGGUACAGUAGCUUUUAAACAGAAUUCAUAAAGAGAAUAAUCACAAGAGAAAACAUAAAUAUCCACAGUAAGUGAAACAAAACCUGUGAAAUUUAUCCUAAUUUAUCCUAAUAGACUCCCAUGAGUUUGUUAUUAAACUAAAAUCACCUUAUUCUAAGCACACUAUGAAUCAUCAUAAAAGAUUCUGACCCUUAAAGAUCAUGGAAACUUCAAGAUUUUACUAAUAAAGUUAAAAAUCCUAGCUGUUGCGUUACUGGUUGACUUUGGUCUGUAAUUUCUGGACUUCUGCAGGCCACGGAUAACAAUCAGGUAGGAUCUGGUCAUAAUUAGUGCUGUACAUCUGGGAGGAGACAACUUCUUCUUUGUUUUGGGGUUCAGGAUAAACAGUGGCCAUCUUUUCUUUGUAUGCAUCUUGCACAAUCUUUACUGCAAUUUUCAACGAAUCGUCUCGAAUGGUAUUCAAAGGAGGAUAGAGCCGGCCUUCUUGCAGGUGUUUAUCUGACACUUGCUGAGAUAUGACCUCAGCAGUGGUGAGGAAGACCUUAUCAUCGAUGUGUCUCAGUCCGCAGGCCACCACCCCAAGAGCAACUCCAGGGAACACGUAGGAAUUGUUGCCUUGGCCAGGAAACAGAGUCCGUCCAUCUGGGAGAGUGACUGGAUCAAAAGGACUGCCGCUGGCAAAGAUUGCACGUCCCUUGGUCACCUUGUAGCACUGCUCUGCAGAGCACUCCGCUUUGCUGGUCGGAUUGCUCAAAGCAAAGAUGAUGGGCCGCUCGUUGAAGGCAGCCAUAUCCUUGAGAAUUUGUUCAGUGAAAGCACCACCAAUUGCAGCAACUCCUAUGAGAGCAGUUGGUUUUAUCUUUUGAACAAUGGCUUCCAGAUUCUUCAUUUCUUCAUGUUCAUGGGCAAACACCUCUUUCUCUUCUGUGAGAGAAGCACGACCCUUAACUAUUAGUCCUUUUGAGUCAACCAACCAUGUCUUCUUUCUAGCAUUCUCCUUUGAUAAACCUUCUUUCUCCAUGGCCAUAACAACCAAGUGAGCAAUCCCCAAGGCAGCCUCUCCAGCUCCCUG
rnacentral:lncRNA from 1 species